rnacentral:rRNA from 1 species
GAUGAACGCUAGCGGCAGGCCUAACACAUGCAAGUCGAGGGAGAAGCCCUUUCGGGGGCAGAAACCGGCGCACGGGUGCGUAACGCGUAUGCAACCUACCUUUCACAGGGGGAUAGCCCGAAGAAAUUUGGAUUAAUACCCCAUAAUAUUAUUGGAUGGCAUCAUUUGGUAAUUAAAACUGCGGUGGUGAAAGAUGGGCAUGCGUCCUAUUAGCUAGUUGGAGUGGUAACGGCACCCCAAGGCUACGAUAGGUAGGGGUCCUGAGAGGGAGAUCCCCCACACUGGUACUGAGACAGGGACCAGACCCCUACGGGAGGCAGCAGUGAGGAAUAUUGGUCAAUGGUCGGAAGACUGAACCAGCCAUGCCGCGUGCAGGAAGAAUGCCUUAUGGGUUGUAAACUGCUUUUAUAUGGGAAGAAUAAGGUGUACGUGUACAUUGAUGACGGUACCAUAUGAAUAAGCAUCGGCUAACUCCGUG